GCAUAAUAUAUUCAGAGAGUAGACAAGAUAAUCAACUCAGUUAAGCGCACUCGGGAUAGAGUAGUACUGAGAUGGGUGACCGCUUGAGAAGUCCUAGUUUUUUACAUGCC
rnacentral:rRNA from 1 species